CAUCUAGCCCACGCCAUCCCAGAAGAGGGGGAAAGGGGUGAGUUCCGCGCCGACAGGCGGGGCUGCCUUGUCAGGCGCGCCCUCCAGUGCUCGGGCCGCUGCAUCGGGAGGGUCCACCGGCCAGUCACUCCGAGCUAUUGUGUGGGGGUCUUCUCCGCGCCGUGCUCGCGCGCGACGUUGCAACCGCCACCGAGAAUCCUGGCUCCAGCUCCGUAACAAUCCCACCUCCGCUCCCAUAUGAAUCAGAGGAUCCGCUCGGCCACGCCCAUCGCACCAAACCACUGAACAUCCUUGCCUUCGAGAGAAACCAAGAGUGCGGGAGGUGGCGCAUCCACAGAAUCGGGUGCUCGCUGGCGUAGCGCUCCAGCGAAGAGAACUUAGGGAGUAUUGGUCUGGGCCGCGCGUUCGUAACAUAGAGCCUAGCAUCGAUGGUGGCUAGAGCGUGGGGAAUCGCUCGCCGGACUUGCUCUCGCCUUCAUGGAAUCUAGCCACCACGGCCAGGCCCGCUCGCUGCAUAAUCCCGGUGAAGAGCAGGUAGCCCAGGAGGAGGUCUACAACGAGGAGUGCGAGCUAAUCUAGGUGGCGUCUCCGAGUCAGCGUUAUGGCACCAAGGAAUAAUUAUUAGUUUGCUUUAUUGUUAUCAUUUAUUCUUGUAAGACACUUCCACAAUGUAAUAAUUUUUGUGACAUUUAUCUCUAUAUACUUAGUCAUUAUAUGUGUUGUUC